AAUUGGGCCAAUGUUAUUGGUCCAUAAAAACAAACCCAAUAGACAAAUAAAAAAGCAAAAUUUCACUAAAUUUAUACUUUUUUCCUUUCUUUCUUUCAUAAAGCUCUAAAUUUUCAAUCUGCUUCUCUCUUUCUCUUUUUCUCUAUCUCUCGCCCUAAGUGGCCAAGCUCGAAGCCCUCCAAGUUACCAAGUAACAAUAUAUGCCCGUCGUUGCCUAUUUUGCUAUUAAUUGUGUGCUUAAGAAAAUAUACAGAAUAUUUUUAAAGUAAAAAAUUGUUAUUUAUAUAAAAUUUUAAUUUUAGUUAUAUGUAAUUGGAUAGUUUAAUACAAUAUUUACCUAUAAAAUUUAUUUAUUUUUGACCACAUAAAUGAAAAUGAAUAAUAUGGAGAUUGAAGGCGGAAGAGAAGACAUGUGAGGCUGAAAAGAUUAGAUAUUCAACUUAUAAAUUAUUUUUCUUCAUAUUAUAAUACCAUAUUUCAUAUAAUUAUUUUGUAGUUUGAACUAUUAGACAUAUUUUUGUACUAAAUUAUAGAUAAUGUUCUAUACAAAUUAAACUAUUGAUCGUACGAUGUUAAGAAUUUCAAGCGGCACAUUUAAGACUUGAGCUAGCUUGACUUGAAAUUAGGCUCGCUCGAGCUCGGCUCGAAUUAAUUUCAAACCAAGCUUGAGCUUAAAUUUAGGCUCGAAAUUAAUUUCAAGCCGAAUUUGAGCCGAGAUAAGC
rnacentral:lncRNA from 1 species